ACUUAAAUUCUAAUUCGUAAACUCAAACAAACAUAAAAUAUUUAUCAAAUAACCACAAACUCUGUCAUGGGAGACGCCACUUGCAGAGACAAGCGCACAUUUCAUUAUAAAUAUGAGUAUAAUAUUGUUGAAAGUUCAUAUAAAUAUAUAGCUAUUAAGCAGCCUGUACUGGUUCCCCAUACUUGUGGUCCACAAAUCUGAAAAUAAAUAAUAUGAUUAAUAAUAUUAUUUAUUUUGCAAAAUGCUACUGUACACUUUGACUGCAAUGGCUCGAAUGACUUUAAACCACAUGAGUUCACUCGUGCAUGAACUCAAUAUCCCAAUCGAACCGACCUUACUAUAAUUAACCAAACACGUGUUAACUAUAAACAAACAACAUUUUACAUGUUCGAUUUUGUACAACUUUGAUAAAUACAUU
rnacentral:lncRNA from 1 species